CUGAUGUCGGAUCCUUGUAGGAAGUGAACGGGAGAAGCUCGGGAGCUGCUGCCGUCGUUCACCUCGCCUCUGCACCGGAGGACGUCCCGAUCUCUACCGGACCCCAUCAACACAACAUGUCACGAAUAUAACAACCGGGAGCACUUUCCAGCAGCGAGGAGCGGAUCCGCUCAUCUCCCCCUGGGCUGAGGUUUGACCACUCCACUGUGACUUCAGGCUUUCGGAACGAGUCGUUAUAGGAGGCCAACUUUCCACUAACAACAUCUGUUGGCAAUAAGAGAAAAAUUAAGAGCAAUCAUGAGCGCUCACGAGUCGGACGUGCACACCAUCUCUCCGGAGCUGCCGGCCAUGUUUGACGGCAUGAAGCUGGCAGCGGUGGCCACGGUGCUCUACGUCGUCGUCCGCUGCUUGAACCUCAAAAGCCCCACCGCGCCCCCCGACCUCACCUACCAGGACACGCCCCUCAACCGCUUCCUUCUGAAGUCCUGUUCUCAGCUGACCAAAGAGUACAUUCCUCCCUUAUUAUGGGGCAAGAGUGGCCACCUCCAGACAGCACUGUAUGGUAAACUUGGUCGGGUGAGCUCCCCGAACCCCAGUGGAAUCAGAAAGUACUUGCCGAUGCAGGAUGGGGCCACGGCGACCUUUGACCUCUUUGAGCCACUGGGGGACCAUCGAACAGGAGAUGACAUCACCAUGGUGAUAUGCCCUGGUAUUGGCAACCACAGUGAGAAGCAUUACAUCCGAACGUUUGUGGAUCACGCCCAGAAGGACGGUUACCGCUGUGCUGUGCUGAACCACCUGGGAGCUCUUCCCAACAUCGAGCUCACCUCUCCACGAAUGUUCACUUACGGGUGCACAUGGGAGUUUGCAGCCAUGGUCGGUUACAUUAAGCGGACGUAUCCUCAGACGCAGCUGAUGAUGGUUGGCUUCAGUCUGGGUGGGAACAUUGUGUGUAAGUUCCUGGGCGAGAACAGGACGAACCAGGAGCGCGUGCUGUGUUGCGUCAGCGUGUCUCAGGGGUACAGUGCUCUCAGGGCCCAGGAAACAUUCCUCCAGUGGGAUCAGUUCAGACGCUUCUAUAACUUCCUCAUGGCCGACAACAUGAAGAAAAUCAUCCUCUCACACAGACACAGUCUGUUUGGAGGAAACUCAGUUAAAGUGAUAGAUGCAGAUCUUAGUCGGCUGUACACAGCGACUUCCCUCAUGCAGAUCGACGACAACAUCAUGAGAAAAUUCCACGGCCACAGCUCUCUCAAAGAGUACUACGAGAAGGAGAGUUGUGUUCAUUAUAUACACAAUGUAAAUGUGCCACUGCUGUUAGUGAACUCUGCAGAUGAUCCCCUGGUCCAUGAAUCACUGCUCACUAUCCCUCGCACACUAGCAGCGAAGAAGUCGAACGUGAUCUUUGCCCUGACACUGCACGGAGGCCACCUGGGCUUCUUCGAGGGCGCGGUGCUUUUCCCCCAGCCCCUCACCUGGAUGGACAAAGUGAUUGUGGGUUACGCCAACUCCAUGUGCCAGUGGGAGAAACAGAAACCGCCAUGCCAAAGCGGGCCCCUGACUGAGAGGUCCUGCGUGGAGGAAAAAGCCUAAACCCUCCGGCCUCAUGUCCACCAUCUUCUUCAGCUCCGUGGGUUUGAUCCCCGAGGCGUGCUGCAUGGUGAAGCCCUUGAAGUUCUCGAUCAGGACGAAGCCGUUGAUCUGAGUCUCCUCGUUCUCCAGCAGCUUCUCCAGGAUCACACACUGAUUUGAUCUAAAGCGCUGAGCAGCCUUACCUUGAGCAGAGGGGAUGAGAGGUCAGAGUGACCGAGGAGACAACAGGAGGAGAGACGACCAGGAGGGGCGGAGCCACUGGAAACGCCACUCACAGGAGGAUUACAACGACACAGUGGAUUACAAUGAGAGGCUCAAUCUACACCAGGCAAACUGUGACGAGCCGGAGUGGAGGAGGAGAGGUGUAGUGUGGAACGAGCAGAGCCUCCAUGUAGCUGUGAACACAUCAGCAAUCUGCAGCGUGUUGGAUGGAGCAGCGAGCGCCAAGCUGGUAGAAGAGCUUAAUGAGCUGUGGGUGAGCAGAAGAAGCUUCAGGGCUCGGCUGCAUCUCCAUCCUCCACACACUGAGGCCUCUGUCCUCAUCCAGAACUGGCAGACGCACUGUGCUCGCUCAUUGUUCCUUUAUCAGCUCCGCUCAUUAGUGGACACUCAUGAAUGACCUGCUAUUCCCUGCACAGACACAACCAAGGGGUUAACAAAGCCUCCAUGUUUCACCGCAGACGUGGCCAUGCAAGUGGUUUUGUCCCUGGAAUCCAGUUCUUUGAUGUGAAGGGAUUCCUGCCAGUUAUGUCACCCUGAACACGGAUAAACACAAACGCACACAGUGUUAUUUCCUCCACAUUAGGAAUCACACUGUUUGACAUUUGGGAUGAAGCUCAAGUUGUUUCACGUCUAAUAACAACAAAUACUGAGAUUUUAAAUCACAGGAAUGUUCUACAGGACAAAUAACAAGGUUCCUUGUGUCAGGUGACACACUGAGUCAUGAUAGUGAGCCACACAAUAUUCAAUAACAUUGAAAAAGUUAGAAUAAUAAAAUAAUACCAGGACCCUGAAACCAAAGCAGCUUAAUUAAAAGUAAGAUACUGAAAAUAAAAGAAUAAUAAAACUAAACAAAAGGAACAAUCAUUAUUAUUUUGACCUUGCCCCCUGUGGAGAAGGAUAAACACUCCCACCUGGUGGCAGUAAACUGUAAUUGAUUUAAGAUUUCUUUAGAUUUAUCAUUAGAGGAACAUAAAUUAAAACCUGUGAAAUGUGGUGAAUUAAAUCGACAUGUUUUAACAAAUCAAGAUUAUUUAUCUAAUCACAGUUUGCUCUUUCUGACACAAAACUCUCACACUUGACAUAUUGACAAAAUGUAAUAAAUAGUUUUAAUAUUACUUCUAUUAGGGCCGAGCACCGGACAGAGUGAGACAGGGUGAGGCCCUAUCGAAAUUGUAAGGGUUAUUUUUCAGGCCAAUGAAUUGGCUUUUUGAGGUUUUUAACAUGCUCCAAUUCUUACCAAAAUUUGCAGAAAAUUGUUCAUGAUCAGACAAACAAAAAAGUAAAAAAGGCAACAGGAAGCCUGCUAUUUUGCAUUUAGCGGCCAUUGUGCCAUAGUCCACAUUUUUACUUUGAGGUACUUGUACCAGGGCUUUCAUUAGAUCAACUUCAAAUUGAGAUGAGUGUCAUCUCAACAAGAUGGAGAUACAAGCUAACUCAGGUAAAGUUUACUUAUUUUGUGAGAAUUGAUAGAUAAAGAAUACUAAAGUAGAUUUGACGAGAUAUUUUCAUCCUUACUCAAAAAAAUAAUAAAAAUGUCCUCAAUCUUUGCUAUUAAACUUUACUCAGACUACCUUUGUAUACUUUAAAAAAAAUUGUAACGUUAUUUAAAUAGCUUUUAUUUACAAUACAGUGCUGUGAAAAAGUAUUUGCAAUUUUUUUUUGCAUGUUUGUCACACUUUAAUGUUUCCGAUCAUCAAGCUAAUUUUAAUAUCAGACCAAGAUAACCCAAGUAAGUAAAAAAUGCACUUUUUAAAUGAUGAUUUCAUUUAUUAAGGGAAAAAGCUAUCAAAUCCGAAAAGCAAAUAAUUUAAUGGUAUCACGUUUAAUGCAUUAUUGAAGAACACUGAUUUCUACAUUGAUUUAGAAAACAACAGCAACAUUAGUUCUUUCAAACACGUUCAUGUCAGUGUAAUUAUAGAUUUCUGUCUUUGCAAAGUGAGAACUAAAUAUGUGUGAUAAAGGAAGGUCGGUGUUUGAUUGACAGCUGAUCUCUGUGCGGAGCAGAAACGUCACCAUGAAGAAUUUUGAUCAAGAAACAUGGAGACAAAAGAAGUUAAAGAUUUAAACACAGAAUCUAAAUCACUGCUUUUAAUAACUUGAGUCUAUUCGAGUUUACGGGACUCUUUACUGUGGCUCUAUAAUAAACCCCAACUCCAGCAUAGAGAGGCCGAGUGAAUGUGGUCUGGACUCUGUGGAGGAGAUUCAUGGUGUCAGAGACGCUGUAGAAGGACAGAACACCUGCACUGGGAUCCAGGUACACUCCCACUCUGGAGGACACAGGACCUGACACGGGAGUCUCGAUGUUGUUGUAAUGAAAGUUAUAACUGUUUCUAUAACAAGCUAACGACCAAGAAUUAUCAUUGUAUCCAAAUUCACAUUCACGUGAGUUCACUGCUCUGCUGAUAUCCUUGUAUGUGACUGCUACACCAACUGCUCCCCAUCCCACCUCCAUCUCCACCUCCCAGUAACAACGUCCAGUCAGACUCUCUCUACUCAGGACCUGAGGCCAACCAGUGAAUCUGUCUGGGUGAUCAGAAUAAGAUUGAUCUGUCCGAAAUAACAUAAUAAGUAUAAACUCACUCAUAGAAGAAUGAAAAUAUAAAAAAGUAGAAUAAAAGUUAAGUUAAGGUUAAGAUCAUCUUUAUGUCCCCGAGGGGCCAUUUGGUUUGCAAACAGUAAUCACACACAACCCAUACACAUCAUUACAAUACAUAAAUACACAAAAAGAGAGCUAAGAAUACAUUAGUCCUUUGUUUAAAUACUAAAAUAUAUUAAAAUGUGUGUGUGCCAUACACCAGGGCUACAGCUGGUUUAAAAGUGCGACCGCUGAGGGGACAAUGAUCUUAAAUGUAUUCUUGAGUUUGUAUAUGUGGUAUUGUAACAUGUCCUUGGUAUUAGAUAGAAUAAAUCAAUUAAGUUUUUUUAAAUGAAUUAUCAUUAUUAUAAUCAAUAGGGACUUUUUUCUCCCAACAGAACAAAGUGGUUUCUUUAUAAAUCUGUAAAGUCUCGACUUCACUGUGUACAUUGCCAUGAGAUAAUGUUUGUUGUCAUUUGGUGCAACACAUAUCAAAUUGAAUUGAGAUAAGUUUGUUUAACAUAAUUAAACACACAUACAUAAACAAGUCAUUUCUUUAAUAUGAAAUUGCAGUUCAAGUAUGACUACAUGAAGUAUGAAAGGUCUAUUGUGUAUUUAUUGUUAUUAAUAUUUUCUAAAUCAAUCUAACAUUUGAUUCGAGAUUGGUUUAAAAAUGGAUAAAUAGUAUAAAUAAUGGUUUAAUGGACCAAUUCGAUUUUUGACUCUGAAACUUUUGCACACAACAAACCAGCAAAUGGAAAAUUGUUCUUUGAUCUUUACUCUCAUCAAGUUUACACAACAGACAACAAAGUCGUAUCUCUCAUGAGGUGAAUAAUCAUAAGGCACUAAAUAAGGUGUAGAUGAAAAGAGUUUUGGAAGCAGAAGUACAAACUGGUCCUUUUCUGGGGGUAAAUUGUUUCAUCAGUGUUGGUUUGAGUUCCCUAAAUGAAAAAAAUAUGAACAGCAUAUGAAAUGUGACAUGUUUGAAUUGGUCUUAAUAAAGCUGCUGACAUAUACAAGUGUUUUACCACAAAAAAAAAAAAAUCCAACUUCCUAAUAUUUGUUCUGCACAGGAAACAAU